GUCCCUGUAGCUUAAACAAAGCAUGACACUGAAGAUGUCAAGAUGGUUGUUACAUGCACCCAAGGACA
rnacentral:tRNA from 1 species